rnacentral:rRNA from 1 species
AAUCUUGCGCAAUGGGCGAAAGCCUGACGCAGCCAGGCCGCGUGAAUGAUGAAGGCCUUAGGAUUGUAAAAUUCUUUCACCGGGGACGAGAACGACGGUACCCGGAGAAGAAGCCCCGGCUAACCUCGUGCCAGCAGCCGCGGUAAUACGAAGGGGUCUAGCGUUGCUCGGAAUUACUGGGCGUAAAGGUCGCGUAGGCGGAUCGUUAAGUCAGGGGGGAAGUCCCAGGGCUCAACCCUGGAACUGCCUUUGAUACUGGCGAUCUUGAGUAUGAGAGAGGUAUGUGGAACUCCGAGUGUAGAGGUGAGAUUCGUAGAUAUUCGGAAGAACACCAGUGGCGAAGGCGACAUACUGGCUCAUUACUGACGCUGAGGCGCGAAAGCGUGGGGAGCAAACAG